rnacentral:rRNA from 1 species
CUACGCCCGAUCCCCUUGAGUUUGAUCAUGGCUCAGGACGAACGCUGGCGGCGUGCUUAACGCAUGCAAGUCGAGCGAGGUCCAUCCACUCGCAAGAGUGGUGAAGACCUAGCGGCGAACGGGUGAGUAACACGUGAGGAACCUGCCCCGGAGACCGGGAUAAGCCCCCGAAAGGGGGUCUAAUACCGGAUAUCCCCAUCGGAUCGCAUGGUCUGAUGAGGAAAUGGAUUCCGCUCCGGGAGGGUCUCGCGGCCUAUCAGCUUGUUGGUGAGGUAACGGCUCACCAAGGCUUCGACGGGUAGCUGGUCUGAGAGGACGAUCAGCCACACUGGGACUGAGACACGGCCCAGACUCCUACGGGAGGCAGCAGUGGGGAAUCUUGCGCAAUGGGCGAAAGCCUGACGCAGCAACGCCGCGUGGGGGAUGAAGGCUCUCGGGUUGUAAACCCCUUUCAGCAGGGACGAUUAUGACGGUACCUGCAGAAGAAGGACCGGCCAACUACGUGCCAGCAGCCGCGGUAAUACGUAGGGUCCAAGCGUUGUCCGGAUUUAUUGGGCGUAAAGAGCUCGUAGGCGGCUUCGUAAGUCGGAUGUGAAAACU